rnacentral:rRNA from 1 species
GAUCCUAGCUCAGGAUGAACGCUAGCGACAGGCUUAACACAUGCAAGUCGAGGGGCAGCACAGGUAGCAAUACCGGGUGGCGACCGGCGCACGGGUGAGUAACGCGUAUGCAACUUGCCUAUCAGAGGGGGAUAACCCGGCGAAAGUCGGACUAAUACCGCAUGAAGCAGGGGUCCCGCAUGGGGAUAUUUGCUAAAGAUUCAUCGCUGAUAGAUAGGCAUGCGUUCCA